UGGCCUAACACAUGCAAGUCGAACGAUAUAGUGGCAGACGGGUGAGUAACGCGUGGAAACGUGCCUUUCACUACGGAAUAGCUUUUGGAAACGAAAGGUAAUACCGUAUACGCCCUCCGGGGGAAAGAUUUAUCGGUGAAAGAUCGGUCCGCGUUAGAUUAGCUAGUUGGUGAGGUAACGGCUCACCAAGGCUACGAUCUAUAGCUGGUCUGAGAGGAUGAUCAGCCACACUGGGACUGAGACACGGCCCAGACUCCUACGGGAGGCAGCAGUGGGGAAUAUUGCACAAUGGGCGCAAGCCUGAUGCAGCCAUGCCGCGUGAAUGAUGAAGGCCUUAGGGUUGUAAAAUUCUUUCGCCAAGGAUGAUAAUGACAGUACUUGGUAAAGAAGCCCCGGCUAACUUCGUGCCAGCAGCCGCGGUAAUACGAAGGGGGCUAGCGUUGUUCGGAAUUACUGGGCGUAAAGCGCACGUAGGCGGACUUUUAAGUCAGAUGUGAAAUCCCGAGGCUCAACCUCGGAACUGCAUUUGAAACUGGGAGUCUAGAGAUCAGGAGAGGUUAGCGGAAUACCGAGUGUAGAGGUGAAAUUCGUAGAUAUUCGGUGGAACACCAGUGGCGAAGGCGGCUAACUGGACUGAUACUGACGCUGAGGUGCGAAAGUGCGGGGAGCAAACAGGAUUAGAUACCCUGGUAGUCCACAC
rnacentral:rRNA from 1 species